CAGUAGCUCGUGAAGAGCCAUCCGGUGCGGUGGGAUGAGCUCCCUUAAGAAGUGAUCCGUGAAAGACUCCGAUAGAACCGAAACUUUGGAUCAAGGGGAAGUACUGUCGUUAUCGCAGCGUGUGUGAACACUCAGCAUAAUGCGGCUAAAUGUGGUCUCCAUUGGUAUCCUGCUACUGAUCCUAGCGAUCUCCUAUUGCAAGGCGAAACUAACGCCGCCGUAUUUCAAUCUGGCCACCGGCCGAAAGAUCUAUGCCACGGCCACUUGAGGCAGAUCAGUGGGAGUCAAUGCGGAGUCCGAAUACAUCGACCACUCGGUCUGUGAUUUCUGUGAUACUAAUGUACCGGCGAAAAGUCAUCCUCCACUGAAUGCGAUAGAUGGAACCGAUUCCUGGUGGCAGAGUCCUCCGUUGUCCAGGAAUUCCAUGUGGCCUAUUUCUUCAUU